UUGGCUUGGUGCUAUCAUAUCAUAUUCCUUCAUCAUUUUCUUGAUUUCUUUGGGGGCUUUGAAUAGAUAUUACAUCUAUCCAAUUGAUAAAAAUACCAAUGACAUCUACUCUUAUCCGAUAAAGGCGGUGUUGAAUAUGCUUCUCAUUUGCAUUUCCAUAGUCAUCACAAGUACUGCAGCAUUUGUGUGUAACAAGAGACGCAGUGGCAUAGACGCCAAACAAAUUCAGAACAUGGAAAGUGCAACUCCAACGUCUUCACCUAAUUCUUUGUUCUAUAAUGCAUAGAGGUAAAAUGGAGAGGUUGCCCCAACAAUCACUUCUUCAGUCAACUAAUCUCCAUUUUGAUGAAAGGCCUCCUUAAAAGGAUUCUUUUUGAGAGGAAAGAAUCAAGUGUUGGAGUUCUAGUGUAUGGUCCAAAGAAGAUGAGACAUGAAGUUGCAAACAUUUGUUCCUCUAGUUUAGCUUCCAACCUUCAUUUUGAGUCCAUCAGCUUCAAUUGGUGAUUUCUCUUAUAAUUUCAACAUAGUCCAUAGAAUGGCAAAAUAUUCAUCCUUCCCUAUCCUUGCCCCCACCCCUACACAAAUCGAAAAUAAGAUAAUUUUUGUUGUUAUGGUUAUGUUCAUGUUGAUUGAAUUUUUCCAAGUGCUCCUGUAACAUGUUCCUUUUA